rnacentral:lncRNA from 1 species
UUUAAAAAGCUUGAGUCAGUCUUCCACUGAUUUGACCCUAAAUAUCUUUCAAUAAAGACUUUUCCUGCAAUGUCACAAGCAUUACAUUUCUAGGUUAUAAUCAGUGAUUGUGAAAAUCAGUGAGAUCCAAAUACUUACUCCCACUUUGAAUUAGAUGUACACUGUCUACUUAAUCAAACUCUCUUCACUUUAGUUUUGUUGUUAUUGUUUGUUUUGUUUUCUUUGUUUUAAUCUCGAAAAGGCAAUACCCAUUGUGUACCUUUUUAUUUUUAUAUAAGAAAUCAUUUAAUUGGGGACUUCCUUUUAGUUUAAGAAGCUUAGUUUAUAAUCAAGAAAGGGAACUUGGGCAUUCAGACAUGGUGUUGUACAAGUGGGUGACAACUAGCUAAAUCAAACAGAGUGAAAAAAGACAGAGAAGACAGACAGGAAAGGAAAAGAAAGAGCAGAGAUGAGAGAGAGACAGAGACAGAGAGACAGAGACAGAGGGACAGAGAGAACCUAUAGGAAAGAGAACAGAGACAGAACAGAAAACAGAGAGUGAAAGAGAGAGACAGAGCCAGACACAGAGAGUGUCUGGGCCAGACAAGUGUUUUUGAAACCUAAAAGGAGAUAUCCAGUGACACACUACUUCCAAUAAGGACACACCUUCUAAUCUUCUUAAGUAGUGCUAUCCCCUGAUGACAAAGCAUUCAAAUGUAUGAACCUAUGGAGGCUACUCUUACUCCAUCCACCACACCACUGUUGGACAUUCUCAAAGGAUUCUAUAUUCUACUGCAGAGAUACUUGCUCUUCCAUGUUCAUUGCUGGUCUACUCACAACAGACUGGCAAAGUAAACAGUCUAAAUGGAUAUGUGCUAUUUAAUAGAUAAUGACAAUUGUGGUACAUAUAUGCAAUGGAAUUCUAUUCAGCUCUAAAGGAAAAUGAAGUUAUGAAAUUUAUAUGUAAAUUUGUUGAGCUGGAAAAAUUUCUCUGAGUAAGGUAACCUGAAUCCACAUGGAGACAGCAGGGGUAUGGAGGAGGUAUGGGAUGUGGAACAGUCAAGGGUAGUUUGGGUGGGAGGGGAUACAAUUUGGAGUAUAAAUAAAAUAAAAUAAAAUGUCAUAUAUUCUUUUUCAUAUGUGUAUGUCAGCUUUGAAUCUUUAAAUAUGACUAUUUACAUUGGCGUACUCAGACAAGUCAGGAACCUAGUGAGAGGGCAUGGAAAGGGUUUCAAGAGACAAUGUGGCUUAUAGUUCCAAGUUAAAGAAUUUCAUUUUGAGAAAGUCAGGGCAAGAACUCAAGGAACUAGUUUCAUCACACUAGUCAAGAGGAAAGGAUCCAUAAAGGACACUAUAUUUGAUUGUUUGAUGAUCUCAGUCGGCUUACUUCUCUUGUAUACUACUUAGCAUGCCUUGCCUAUUGACUGGUACUUCCCCCAAUGUGUUGGAUUAUCAUACAUCAAUAUAAAAAACAAAUCCUCAAAGAUGUGCCUACAGCCAACUGAUCCCCAUAGAAUCUCUAGCCAAGAGAUUCUGGGUUAUGUCAAAUUGACAGUUAAAAUUGGCCAGGACUCAGAAUGUACAUGAUAAAAGUGUUAUAUUUCUUACUAUUCACACAGCAUACAAAAAUCCUGUCCUCAUACCAGGUUCUAAUUAUUGAUUUAAAGAGCUCAGUAUUAAUUUUAAGUACUAACUGUGUUUCUCCUUCUGUCCUUUGAUUAUGUGCAGGAUGUAUUUACUAUGUUCAGCUGUUACACAGACAUGCUGUGCUGGUUUUGUCAUAUGAGAAGCACACGGCACACACAGGCUCACUGGAACAUUGAAAGUACUUCUCAAAGAAUUAUCGUUUUGUUAUUCACGUCAUCUUAUGAAUAGUUUUGGGUCUGUUAAUACAACUUGUCAUAAAAUGUAGCAUAUGUUCAUAAUAUUAUGCUAAGUUUAUUGCAUAUUAACCAUAUGGAUGAUUCUGUUACUUCUUUAUUCAAGUAGCUGAUUGUGCAACAAUGAACAAAAAACAACUUUCUCAGUUGACACACAGGCCUCUACUCUAGCUCCUGCUUCCAGGUCCCCGCCCUGACUUCCCUCCAUGAUGGACUCAAAAGCUGUAAGAUGAAAUAAACUCUUUCCUCCCACCCACCCAAAAACGUAACUUUUGAAUGUAUCAAUUUCUCUCUCUUCCAUCAGUGUGCAGUAGCUGUAUUGCAUCUUUCCCUGUUUUAAAAUAGUGUAUAAAUAUUCAAAACCUGUAUUUUAUAAUUCAUCUUUCUGGAUUUUAUUUCACUACAUUUAUCAUACUUUUCUUCAGUUAGAUCUUCUCACUUAAGUGAUUGCUCUGAACAAUUCUCCAGUGCUUUUUCCUUAACAAAGUAAUUGAAACACAAGGCACAUUUACUGUAGCAAUUACAUAGAGUAAUAUCACAAAUUCUUUGGGCCAAUGCCUUAUGAGUGGGCAUUCACAUAUAUAAUACUUAGUACACUUUCAGAAACAAUAAUAAAAAACAGAACUUUUGUUUUUUAAAUGAGUAAACUAAACUUCAAGAAAAUUUAGCAGCUACCCCCAUGAAAUUCAGUUCAGCCAUGAUGCCAAGAUUUGAACCUGGGCUCUGUGUGCAGUGCUCCUGAAUAUAUAUGGCCAUUGACAGGUUACCUUCCCACACUUAAUACUAAAUUAUUUUUCUAUAUAAUUAUAAAUCUCUUAUUCCUUUCAUUCAUAUUCUAAUAAAAUAUGACCAAUAUUUCAUUAGAAUACCUGGUUUAUUUUUUUAAAUGUAAACAUUAUUUUUGAACCACCUCAGCUUUAUUGAAAAAUUGAAUACUAAGUAAAGAAUUCUUAGUUACUUACUUGCAAUAUGCACUCAAUACCUACAUUCUGCUCCAGAGGAGCCUGCAUUAACACAUCAGUAUCACCCAAGUCAUUAUAGAUGAGUGUCCAGGUUCAUGUAUCUGUGGCCAUGUUUGUAGAGGCCAGAGCUGGAUGCAACAUGUUUUCCUCUAUCUUUUUUUUCUGUUACUGUCUAGUACUGCUCUGGGUUAGGCUCUCUCCUUGAAUCAGAAGUUCACUUUUUUUCCACUAGAGUGGCUGACUGGGAGGCUCCCAGGAACUACUUGAUUCCAACAUGCAAAACUAGAGGUACCCGCAUUUGAAGUGAUGCCUGGCAUUUUUCUGUGAGUACUAGUUAUUUGAAUUUAGACUUUCAUAUUCAUAAAAGAUUCUCUUAUGGUGAAUUCCACUACCCCAGUCUCUUAUGGUCAUUUUAGAGAUAAAGUUCUAUGGUGUUUGACAACACUAUGUUUCAAUCAUAAAAUUGUUUAUUAUGCUAAAGAAAUAUUCUGUGGACUCUGACUAUUCACCAUGCUCUCUUCUUCUUCCAAUUUUUGGGCUGUUUUGCCUUUUAAAUUAGUAUAUUUAAUCUAGGCCAAAUCAUAGUCAUUCUUGCUGUUGGAGAAUCCAGUAUUGUUAUUUUAGGUCAGUAGAAUGC